ensembl:lncRNA
CAGCUCACAGGACUGAAUAGUGGAGGUUGAACCUGGAAUAUAACUCCAGGGGCUUGUCAGCUCACAGGACUGAAUAGCGGAGGUUGAACCUGGAAUAUAACUCCAGGGGCUUGUCAGCUCACAGGACUGAAUAGUGGAGGUUGAACCUGGCAUAUAACUCCAGGGGCUUGUCAGCUCACAGGACUGAAUAGUGGAGGUUGAACCUGGAAUAUAACUCCAGGGGCUUGUCAGCUCACAGGACUGAAUAGUGGAGGUUGAACCAAGAAUAUAACUCCAGGGGCUUGUCAGCUCACAGGACUGAAUAGUGGAGGUUGAACCAAGAAUACAACUCCAGGGGCUUGUCAGCAUAGGACUGAAUAGUGGAGGUUGAACCAAGAAUAUAACUCCAGGGGCUUGUCAGCAUAGGACUGAAUAGUGGAGGUUGAACCUGGAAUAUAACUCCAGGGGCUUGUCAGCAUAGGACUGAAUAGUGGAGGUUGAACCUGGAAUAUAACUCCAGGGGCUUGUCAGCUCACAGGACUGAAUAGUGGAGGUUGAACCUGGAAUAUAACUCCAGGGGCUUGUCAGCUCACAGGACUGAAUAGUGGAGGUUGAACCAAGAAUAUAACUCCAGGGGCUUGUCAGCAUAGGACUGAAUAGUGGAGGUUGAACCAAGAAUAUAUCUCCAGGGGCUUGUCAGCAUAGGACUGAAUAGUGGAGGUUGAACCUGGAAUAUAACUCCAGGGGCUUGUCAGCAUAGGACUGAAUAGUAGAGGUUGAACCUGGCAUAUAACUCCAGGGGCUUGUCAGCAUAGGACUGAAUAGUGGAGGUUGAACCUGGCAUAUAACUCCAGGGGCUUGUCAGCAUAGGACUGAAUAGUGGAGGUUGAACCUGGCAUAUAACUCCAGGGGCUUGUCAGCUCACAGGACUGAAUAGUGGAGGUUGAACCUGGCAUAUAACUCCAGGGGCUUGUCAGCUCAUAGGACUGAAUAGUGGAGGUUGAACCUGGCAUAUAACUCCAGGGGCUUGUCAGCACAGGACUGAAUAGUGGAGGUUGAACCAAUAAUAUAACUCCAGGGGCUUGUCAGCAUAGGACUGAAUAGUGGAGGUUGAACCUGGCAUAUAACUCCAGGGGCUUGUCAGCAUAGGACUGAAUAGUGGAGGUUGAACCUGGCAUAUAACUCCAGGGGCUU